UGCAAAUGAUGAAUAAAAAAAUAAAUAACUUUCGUUCUUCUGUAUUUUUGGAAAUGAAGAUAAAUUUAGUAUCUGAUGCAA